UAAUCUACUCCUAACACUAACACUAAACACUAAAAUCAACAACAAAAACAACAACUAAACUAUAACACCUGCAGCAUUUAAAUGGGAAGAGGAGAACUUGGCUCCACAGGAGGCUCGGAGGAGGAGCUGAUGGAAACUAAUGCCACCCAGCUAAUGCUGGGGGCGGGGGCCGCGCAGCGGGUAGGGAGCCGAGCGCCUGGACCAGCGGCGCUGUGACGGCGCCGAUGCGGGGCCUGGCACGGUGGUGUGGUGCCAGGCCAGCUGUGCCGCAGGCGGAUCCACCUCCAUGGGCUCAUCGGGAGGUGGAUCCACCUCCAUGGGCUCAUCCGGAGGUGGAUCCACCUCCAUGGGCUCAUCCGGAGGUGGAUCCACCUCCAUGGGCUCCACGGAGGUGGUCACAGCGCUGGCCCAGGCGCGAUGCAAACGCACUCUCUGCCCCCUCCUCC